rnacentral:tRNA from 1 species
GCGCAGAUCGUCUAGCCUGGUCUAGGAUUCGAGCCUGUGGAGCUUGCGACGCGAGUUCAAAUCUCGCUCUGCGCC